AUCUCUAUAAGUGCCAGGUGUUUAUCAUAUCAAAUGGGCUGAGGCUCAGAUAAAGCCGGUUUCCUCUCAACCAAGAGAGGCAUUUGCUCCCAUUAGGGCUUCGCCUUGAAGAUUAAAGACAUAACUGCCAGCCGGGGCACUUUACAGCCAUCAUCUGAUAUGCUGCUCGCAAAACUCCAUGAGACUCCUACAGACACUUUCUGAAGAUUUAGCUGCCCAUCUCAUGAACCUACAAGGAGAAAACAGCUGAAAACUCAAGAUUCUAACGAGGAGAGAGCAGAUAAGGGAGAAGGCAAUCAACAAUUGGCAUCAAGACACAGUCCCUGCCCUCUGGACAGGAAAGGUAAGGAAAUACCUAACAGAAUGCAUAACAGGGGAUCUAAUUAACAGUGGGCAAAGCUUCCCAGAGAUGGGGGCUUCUGAAGUGAACUUUGAAUGAAGAGUAGA